AUGGGGUUGAAGGAUUGCCGAGGCUCCUCUAAUGAGUGGCUUAAGCACUGCAAGAUCUACCGGAGCAGAGAAGAAGGGAUCGUCCUCUUCUGGACUGCUGUAGUUGGGAUCACCCCAGCUAGCUCUGCAGCUGUGGGACCCGAUGGCAUGACAGAGAGAGGCCCCUGGCCUGCUGAGUACUGGGACUGGCACAGAGAGGCUCUGUGACCGAUGUGGAUCAUCCCAACCGGAGUACUCGGUGAGUUCCCCAGAGCCGCUGAGCACACAGACUUCCCUGCCUGCCCCAACCGUGCCUGGAUCUCCA
rnacentral:lncRNA from 1 species